ensembl:processed_transcript Nctc1 non-coding transcript 1
ACUGUGGGUCCCCAGGUCUUAGAGAGAUGUUCAAGGAUGGGACAGGGAUGGAGAUGAGCAUGAAAGCCAGCAGAAGGACAUCUCUCAGAACUAGCCCUCUUCUCUCAACUCCUACCACCAAAGCAGAAGACCACUACAGUCCAGAACCCAGCACGGCCACCAUCAUAGCUUGGCUGACCAGCUCAGGACAGUACAGCCACAGAGCCCCAUUGUACCUCAAGACCCACAAUAGGACUGGACUCUAGACUUGUCUCUGGCAAUGGACAUUCUUUGAUACAGCAAGGGAGAUGGAUUCCAGGUCUAGAAUUAACCCAACCACCACACCAGGACUAUCAAGGUCUUACUUGAACAAGAGACUCCCGGCCCAAGAGGUGCCACGGCCAGGCUCCAGAUCCCCAACCCUCUUAGGACUGGGGCUACCACCGGGGUGUUGGCCAUGUCUAGGGAGCCCUUCUCCUUGGGCUUGCCUGCCCCUGCUGGAAGAUAGAGGAAACAACCUGCUCCUGGAUAGACGGGGUGCUCCAGCCAUCUUGCCCUUCACUGGCCUUCAGGAGGGUUGUAUGGGUGAAAAGGUCAAAGAGAGGCAGAGGAGAAGGUGAAGGAAUCUCAGAGCAUGGAGGGGAGGCUGGAUGCUGCAAAUGGUGAGAAGGAAGCAGUGACAAGUAUGGCUGGGUCUAGCACACAGCGCCCUGGAUAGCCCAACUCUGCCUCGGCCAACUCUGCCUCUGAAGGAGUGCUGUGCCUCACUGGCUAACCUCUGACGGCUACUUGUGAGGUUUGUGGAUAGUGCUGACCAGCUAAGUCCCAUGGGCCAAACCAGACCAGGUUCCAAGGGACAGGAAGGAACUCAUUGCUCAGUGCCUGGCCUCAGGCACUGCUGAGCCAUCUCCCAUUUCCAGGGCACCCGGGGACGGGCAAGGCCUGGAUGCUCAGCCGGGCUAUUGGCUGUUAUUGGGGGAGGAGGUUAAACCUCUAUGCUCCUCUCCAAUGCCUCUACCCUGAUCAUUUAAGUACUUUCCUACGUCAGCCUCCCAGGUCCUGAAGAAUACACCUCUUUGAAACUGAAGGGAAGGACCCUCUACGCUACACUCCCAUCCCUGCACCACCCCCAGAAUGCUCUUCAGUUCUCAGUCACAGAAGAAAGCUAGAUUUCAGGGCCAACUAGCUCCUUCCAGGACAAGAAGGGUGGGUCUAGGUAGUCCCACUCACCCAAGUCCUGGCAGGAAGGGGGCUAUGGAAUUGCGGAAGCACUGAGAACUAGUGGGUAGCAAGCAGACAAAAGUCAUGCUUGUACCCUUGGCUGCUCUCUCUGGCCACGUACAUCAUCCUCAGUGGCUCGUAAGUAUGGGUGGGCAUUGACUGGGAGUCAUGAGUUAGGGGACAGCCAGGUUGGGCAUGAAUGUCUUUUGGAGACUUUGAGAGAAGGGGAGUCACUGGGAGAGGAGAGAGGCCAGAGGCAAUCCCGGUUCUGCUAGUUUACAUUUGUCUCUUCCCUAAGACUGCACAUCUCUCUUGGGGGGAGGGGAGGUGCUGUUAGUGGGGGGAGCUUGGCACUGAGCCCAGUAAUCACCCAAGGAAAUUAUAAUGUGGAGCAGAAAGGGAUCCUUCAGCUGCUCAUCAAAAUGAUGGAAACACCAGAAAAGCUGAUUGAAGUGUUGUUCACUUAGAUGGGCAGGCAAAUUCCUGCAGUCCCAUGUAGGGGCUGCAAAGGGGGUCCACAAGGGCUUUGAGGGUCUGGGAAGGUGACAAGGUGCUUGUGGGAGGGCUAGGGACCAGUGGACUAGGAUGAAGGCAGCUAUUUAUCCAACAGCAGUGGAGAAGGAGGUAAAGACACUUGUGAAAGACUGGACAAGGGACAAGGUCCAUUCAAGGAAGUCAGAACAAGGAGCAGACGCCUGAUGCCCAAGGGCAAAGCUGGCAAGGCACACACAGCCUGGACUUGUGGUACCAAGGCUGAUAUUCCUGAAAUGAUGAAGACUGGGAAGGCAGCUUUGCUUAGAAUUGGGAUGAGCUGGGCCUAGUGCCCUACUCCCACACCUCAGUCACCUGCCUGCCUGCCUGCCUGCCUGCCUGCCUGCCCUCCCACUGGUGUGGGCCUUCUGGAUUCCAUCAGGUACCACAGCAAUCUGGCUGUGACAUAAUGAGGCAGGCUGGGGUCAGCGGGGUGACCUUUCAUGGCCCCAAUGUUUGGAAAUCCCCAAAUCAAAAUGACCCGACAGACAAGCUUGAGAGUAGAUUUCCCAAGUGGCCCCUUCAAUUACCAAGAGAGGAAAACAGCAGGCCCCAGCCAUUACCAGUCUCCACAGACGGGACAACUCAGGCCCAGAGAGGUCCUAAGCAGGCCUGCUUAGCUUUAAGCAAAGGUAAGCCAGGCAGCCUGGAGAGAACACACACGGAGAAGUCCAUGAUUGAGGGGUUCAGGCCCCACGAUUCUGUAAGCUAUGGUACCAAUCUGAAAGCCAUAGCAGAUCUGGGCUUGGGGCAGAAGGGAGGCCAUGAGAGGGUUAACUUAUAAUAGCUCAACCGGGGCUGGAGAACAGCAUGCACUAAGGGCUGAAUGUGGCAGAGGCAGGGUUGCAGGACAGCCACCCCCAGCCCAGAGUUUUGUAAGCCAACAUUCUUCUUUUGUGUCCUUCCUCUCCAGGUGUUAUUUG